AGAGUUUGAUCCUGGCUCAGGAUGAACGCUGGCUGUGUGCCUAAUACAUGCAUGUCGAGCGGAAGUAGCAAUACUUUAGCGGCGAAUGGGUGAGUAACACGUGCUUAAUCUACCUUUUAGAUUGGAAUACCUAAUGGAAACAUUGGUUAAUGCCGGAUACGCAUGAAGUCGCAUGACUUCGUUGUGAAAGGAGCGUUUGCUCCGCUAAGAGAUGAGGGUGCGGAACAUUAGCUAGUUGGUGAGGUAAUGGCCCACCAAGGCUAUGAUGUUUAGCCGGGUCGAGAGACUGAACGGCCACAUUGGGACUGAGAUACGGCCCAAACUCCUACGGGAGGCAGCAGUAGGGAAUAUUCCACAAUGAGCGAAAGCUUGAUGGAGCGACACAGCGUGCACGAUGAAGGCCCUCGGGUUGUAAAGUGCUGUUGCAAGGGAAGAACAGUUAGUUGAGGAAAUGCUUCUAAUCUGACGGUACCUUGUUAGAAAGCGAUGGCUAACUAUGUGCCAGCAGCCGCGGUAAUACAUAGGUCGCAAGCGUUAUCCGGAAUUAUUGGGCGUAAAGCGUUCGUAGGCUGUUUAUUAAGUCUGGAGUCAAAUCCCAGGGCUCAACCCUGGCUCGCUUUGGAUACUGGUAAACUAGAGUUAGAUAGAGGUAAGCGGAAUUCCAUGUGGAGCGGUGAAAUGCGUAGAUAUAUGGAAGAACACCAAAGGCGAAGGCAGCUUACUGGGUCUAUACUGACGCUGAGGGACGAAAGCGUGGGGAGCAAACAGGAUUAGAUACCCUGGUAGUCCACGCUGUAAACGAUGAUCAUUAGUCGGUGGAAAACUACUGACGCAGCUAACGCAUUAAAUGAUCCGCCUGAGUAGUAUGCUCGCAAGAGUGAAACUUAAAGGAAUUGACGGGGACCCGCACAAGCGGUGGAGCAUGUGGUUUAAUUUGAUGAUACGCGGAGAACCUUACCCACUCUUGACAUCCCCUGCAAAGCUAUAGAGAUAUAGUGGAGGUUAACAGGGUGACAGAUGGUGCAUGGUUGUCGUCAGCUCGUGUCGUGAGAUGUUUGGUCAAGUCCUGCAACGAGCGCAACCCCUAUCUUUAGUUACUAACGAGUCAUGUCGAGGACUCUAGAGAUACUGCCUGGGUAACCGGGAGGAAGGUGGGGAUGACGUCAAAUCAUCAUGCCUCUUACGAGUGGGGCUACACACGUGCUACAAUGGUCGGUACAAAGAGAAGCAAUAUGGCGACAUGGAGCAAAUCUCAAAAAGCCGAUCUCAGUUCGGAUUGAAGUCUGCAAUUCGACUUCAUGAAGUCGGAAUCGCUAGUAAUCGCAGAUCAGCUACGCUGCGGUGAAUACGUUCUCGGGUCUUGUACACACCGCCCGUCGCACCAUGGGAGCUGGUAAUACCCAAAGUCGGUUUGCUAACCUCGGAGGCGACUGCCUAAGGUAGGACUGGUGACUGGGGUGAAGUCGUAACAAGGUAUCCCUACGAGAACGUGGGGAUGGAUUACCUCCUUUCUACGGAGUACAAUUGAAGUUAUCCAUACUUCAUAAAUAGUUAAUGGCCCAAUAUUCGUAUCCAGUUUUGAGAGAACUAUCUCUCAUUUAUUCUUUGAAAACUGAAUUAGACAUUGAAAAUUAAAAUAUUAAUAUUCAAAAAUUUAGAUCAACCUAUAGAAUAUUCAAAAAUAUAGAGACAAAUACAAAAAAAAAACAAUAGGUCAAAAAUACUUAUACGUAAUUAAAAUAUAUAACUAUUAAAUAAGCAAGAGUUUUUGGUGGAUGCCUUGGGUCUGAAAGUCGAAGAAG
rnacentral:rRNA from 2 species